rnacentral:piRNA from 1 species
UAGUAGCUUCUGGCGUUUCAGAGACCAAGG